GCCCACCGAAGCCUUCCUGGGCUGCAGGAAAUGAUCCUUUUCCCUGGCCACUCCAUCUACUGGGGAUGCAAGUCAGGUAGGAUGAUAAAUAAUACUAAACUAUAGCUGAACAAUUUUAUACUUCAUCGUACAUUUCUCAUCCAUUAAUCCAUUUGGUCCUGAUACCAGCCCUGUGAAGAAGGUAGAAAGUACCCUUCUUGUUCUACAGGCAAGGAAACCGAGGACCUGAGAGGUUAGGUAGGGUCUCCAGGGUCAGAGGAAGAGGCAGACACUAGGCUUGAGCCCAGCAUUAUAAAUCCCCAGGACUAGGGCACUCUCUAAUAAGUAUUCACCGGGCUCAGACCGCAGUGAGGGUUAAUUGAAUUUUGUGUUCUUUUUAUUUUCUCUCAACUCAGCAUAGGGAGAGGAGAUGGAGGGCUGAGAGGAAGGUAACUGCAGAGACCUCUGUGGGGAAGGGGGUCAGCGGAGGGCUGGAUGAGGAUGCUGCAGUCCUGGGGAGGGUAGGAGAAAGGAACCAGAGAGAAAAGUGAGCUGAUUCUGAAAUUGUCCUCGGGGCCCACUGAGACUCAAAGUUAAGGCGGGAAGGUGUCUUCUACUUGCUCAGGGCCCUGGAGAGAAAGGUACUUUACAGACAUUCCCUAGGAGGCUUGGGAGGAACACCUCCAAGCUCUCCAAGGUUGGGGGGAGGGGGCAGGGAGAGAGGGGAGAUGGGGGGCACCCAGUUGCCCUGGGAGUGGCCACAUUGUGAGGUGGUUCUGGGCACAGGCUGUGGGGUUGGGGUGAGAGGAGACAGAGGUGGUGGGGGCAGUGGCAGCAUCCUGGGCUCUGCCUGCCCCCACCCCCUGCCUGGGGGCUUCUGCCACCACCACCAUCAUGGGCAGCGCUUAUCACUGGGAGGCCCGUCGCAGGCAGAUGGCUUUGGACCGGAGGAGAUGGCUGAUGGCCCAGCAGCAAGAGCAGCAACAGCAGCAAGAGCAGUGUCUCUGGCAAAUGUGUGACUGGGUGGGGAGGGAGGAGGAUGCCACUUGCCGGGGGCUUCUUGCCAGGAACUAAAGAAACUCCAAGAGGAGGAACGCCAAUCUGAGAAAAAAACCCAGCCGCCUCAGAUGUCGCAGCAGCCGCCCCCACCGCAGCUACAGGAGGAGCAGCCACCACCCUCACCAACACGGCUGCAGCCGCCACCACCAUCACCAUCACCAUCACCACCGCCAUUAACAUCACCACCGCAGCCUCCACCGCCAGCACAGCUACCAGCUCGGCUAAGGCAACAAAAUGUCCAAGACCCUCUUAUUCAGCGCACCUCCAAGUACAUUAUCCAGGAUUCCCAAAGGCCAGGUCCUCAGCUUGGCUUACUGGGGACCGAUCAAACUGGAGGGCAAUCCACCUACUUUAACAACAACAGAUUCCAAGGAGAGAAGAAACUCCCUCAAGGCCCUGGUUUUAGGAAAUCCUACCAAUCUAGCCCAGAUAAAUACACUGGGACCUCACGAUUCACGUCAACGAAUUACACACAGCAGUGGUGAUCCAGAGAUAGACCCCAAGAUCCCACAGGCCAUCCGCAAAAAACAGAUGAGCAACCCCACCUUCUUCCCACCCAGCCACAUCUUGCCUCCAAAGCCCCUCUCUCUUGAUCCACUCUAGAAGAGGAGCCUAGCUGAGAAUAAAGUGUGAUUUCUUCCU